rnacentral:rRNA from 1 species
UACGUAGGGUGCGAGCGUUAAUCGGAAUUACUGGGCGUAAAGCGUGCGCAGGCGGUUUUGUAAGUCUGUCGUGAAAUCCCCGGGCUUAACCUGGGAAUUGCGAUGGAGACUGCAAGGCUAGAAUCUGGCAGAGGGGGGUAGAAUUCCACGUGUAGCGGUGAAAUGCGUAGAGAUGUGGAGGAACACCGAUGGCGAAGGCAGCCCCCUGGGUCAAGAUUGACGCUCAUGCACGAAAGCGUGGGGAGCAAACAGG